CGCAAACAAUCACUGAAAACCUGCUUUGUAUAUUAAUGCUAGACCCACACCUUAAGAUGAGCUGUGGGAAUGCAAAACCAAGACCAAGAGAAGCAAGGCUGGAGGUUCUGGGCCCACCUUUAAAAGACAUGAAGAAACUGGAGGAAGGAAGGAGGAGGACAUCGAAAAUGAUCAAGGAGGCAAGGGCAGGAGAGCCAUCCAAGGAUAGAUCAAAAUGGACCCCUUUGUUCUGGAAAUGUAAAGGCCAUUUUCAAAUCUACCUCAGAAAUGAAGUUGUUUGA
rnacentral:lncRNA from 1 species